rnacentral:rRNA from 1 species
CUGGCUCAGGAUGAACGCUAGCGGCAGGCUUAACACAUGCAAGUCGAGGGGCAGCGCGUUGUAGCAAUACAGAUGGCGGCGACCGGCGCAAGGGUGCGUAACGCGUGAGCAACAUACCCGUCACAGGGGGAUAAGCGAUGGAAACGUCGUCUAAUACCGCAUAAAACUUAGGGCGGCAUCGUCUGGAGUUGAAACUUUAUAAGGGUGACGGAUUGGCUCGCGAGACAUUAGCUAGUCGGCGGGGUAACGGCCCACCGAGGCUACGAUGUCUAGGGGUUCUGAGAGGAAGGUCCCCCCACACUGGAACUGAGACACGGUCCAGACUCCUACGGGAGGCAGCAGUGAGGAAUAUUGGACAAUGGCCGGAAGGCUGAUCCAGCCAUGCCGCGUGCAGGAAAGACGGUCCUAUGGAUUGUAAACUGCUUUUGUACGGGAGCAAUAAGGGUCACGAGUGGCCCGAUGAGAGUACCGUACGAAUAAGCAUCGGCUAACUCCGUGCCAGCCGCAGC